GACGAACGCUGGCGGCGUGCCUAAUACAUGCAAGUUGAGCGAUGAAGCUUGGUGCUUGCACCAAUUUGAAGAGCAGCGAACGGGUGAGUAACGCGUGGGGAAUCUGCCUUUGAGCGGGGGAUAACAUUUGGAAACGAAUGCUAAUACCGCAUAAUAACUUUACACAUAAGUUUUAAGUUUGAAAGAUGCAAUUGCAUCACUCAAAGAUGAUCCCGCGUUGUAUUAGCUAGUUGGUGAGGUAAAGGCUCACCAAGGCGAUGAUACAUAGCCGACCUGAGAGGGGGAUCGGCGACAUUGGGAGUGAGACGCGGCCCAUACUCCUACGAGAGGCAGCAGUAGGGAAUCUUCGGCAAUGGACGAGAGUCUGACCGAGCAGCGCGGCGUGAGUGAAGAAGGUUUUCGGAUCGUAAAACUCUGUUGGUAGAGAAGAACGUUGGUGGGAGUGGAAAGCGCAUCAAGUGACGGUAACUACCCAAAAAGGGACGGCUAACUACGUG
rnacentral:rRNA from 1 species